GACGAACGCUGGCGGCGUGCCUAAUACAUGCAAGUAGAACGCACAGUUUAUACCGUAGCUUGCUACACCAUAAACUGUGAGUUGCGAACGGGUGAGUAACGCGUAGGUAACCUGCCUGGUAGCGGGGGAUAACUAUUGGAAACGAUAGCUAAUACCGCAUAAUAUUAAUUAUUGCAUGAUAAUUGAUUGAACGAUGCAAUUGCAUCACUACCAGCUGGACCUGCGUUGUAUUAGCUAGUAGGUGAGGUAACGGCUCACCUAGGCGACGAUACAUAGCCGACCUGAGAGGGUGAUCGGCCACACUGGGACUGAGACACGGCCCAGACUCCUACGGGAGGCAGCAGUAGGGAAUCUUCGGCAAUGGACGAAAGUCUGACCGAGCAACGCCGCGUGAGUGAAGAAGGUUUUCGGAUCGUAAAGCUCUGUUGUAAGAGAAGAACGGGUGUGAGAGUGGAAAGUUCACACUGUGACGGUAUCUGACCAGAAAGGGACGGCUAACUACGUG
rnacentral:rRNA from 1 species